GGGCCCGCACAAGCGGUGGAGCAUGUGGUUUAAUUCGACGCAACGCGAAGAACCUUACCAGGGUUUGACAUCCCCUGACAGCGUAUGAAAGUACGAUUUUUAUCUUCGGAUAGACAGGGAGACAGGUGGUGCAUGGUUGUCGUCAGCUCGUGUCGUGAGAUGUUGGGUUAAGUCCCGCAACGAGCGCAACCCCUAUGUUUAGUUGCUAACGAGCAAAGUCGAGCACUCUAGACAAACUGCCGUUGACAAAACGGAGGAAGGUGGGGAUGACGUCAAAUCAUCAUGCCCCUUAUAUCCUGGGCCACACACGUGCUACAAUGGCCGGUACAGAGGGAAGCGAAGCCGCGAGGCGGAGCAAAUCCCAGAAAGCCGGUCUCAGUUCGGAUUGCAGGCUGCAACCCGCCUGCAUGAAGUCGGAAUCGCUAGUAAUCGCAGGUCAGCAUACUGCGGUGAAUACGUUCCCGGGCCUU
rnacentral:rRNA from 1 species